GAUUAUGAUUACAGUAAAUCAAAUUACAUAUUACUACCUUAAUGGGUUUCAAUUCUGAUUAAUAUUGUUUUCAUUCUGAGUAAUUCUUAGAAUUCGUUUUCAUAAAUUUUUUCAAGUCGAUCGAUAUAUUUCCUCCAGCAAUGCCUGUAAAUUAUAUAUGAAUUGAAGCUUCAAUUUUUAACUGUUUCUUUGGUUCAUUUUCUCAUUAUUGUUUACAAAUGGCAUCAAGCAAUUCAAGACUGGCUUUCGGAUUCAAGUCAAAAUCGUCCAAUCUUUGAGACAGUACACUUCUUGCUCAGUAAAUAUGCGAAUGAGAUCUAACCAAAGAGACGGACAAACAGAGAAACAUCAUGUACGCUGGAUUAAACUGCACUUUCAUGGAAUCUUCUUACUCAGAUUGGAGAUGAAGUUAUCAACAAUAAUUUAACAUGGUAAGUCUUCUUAUCUUCUCUAAAAACUCAUAUUGAUAUGUUUGAUUGGUUGUUGCAUAUAAAAGCUUAGGUAAAAUGUUAGCCAACCUUAAUUAGAAAAGAAAGAGAUCCUUUAUUAAUAUCAUUUCCAUUCAAAAAAUGAAAACACAAAACAACUUAAACAUGAUAAAGCUGGAAAAUUCAGAAAUUUUUUAAAAGUACAGAAACAAAAAGAAUAAUCAUUCUUGUAUUAAUCCCCUGGCCAUACAUGCGUCCUUGUAUGAGUCAUAGACGACACCAUCAUAAGUCCUCAAAUCGUUAUCAGAUUGUGGUCCUUUUAGAAAACGAAAAAGAAGUUUCAAGCUGUUCUGACCUUCAAACUUACUUGGCAUAUACGAUAUCCUUCUACUCCCAUUUGUUCUCUUCCGUCUUACGAAGCUUUUCUCUUUCGGAUUCCAAGUAAAGUACAAUGGAAUGUCCUCAAACGUUAGUCCUCUUGCUUCUGGACAGUAUUUGUUGAGAUCGAACCAAGCCGCAAGCAAUGGAUCUUGGAUGUUCUUCGCUUCUUUCCAACUAUCCAUUCUGUCACAAAAGUUUUUUGAGAAAAUUUAGAAAAGUGAAUAGUUUUUUAAGAAUGAGACUUCCUAUUCUCUCUGUAUAGUGGUAUUUAUAAAGGUUUUCCAUCUAGGGUUUUUAUUUUCCAAUUUCUUUUUCUACUAAUAUAGAGAUGAAUAUAGAAAAAGGAUAUUCUAUGAUUUGUGAUAUACUCAAAUCACGUAUUUCCAGUUAUUCUUGAAACCCAAAUAAGCAAAGUAGUUACUGAUGAUAACCUAAAAAAAUAUUUUCUGACCUGAUUCCAUAAAUGUCUUCUUACUGUAUUUAAAAUCUUUAUAAUAUAGUUUGCCUAUUUAAUAAAAUAUUUCUACUAAUUCACUAAGAUGUUGAGAUGUUAUGUAUCGAACAGCAUGUUUUCCCCUGUUUUAUCGAAAUAUUUUGUAGUAGUAACACAUUUCUAAAGACAGAGAAAGUAAUAAUACUGGGUUUUUAUUUAGCAAAAGUCUAUAAAAUAGAAAAUUAAAUUGUUUGAGCUUUUUUUUUUGAAACUGAGACGGGAUCAACUUCUACAUGCUCAUAUGAAGUUGAUUUCCUCCAAAAGUAACCUGCAAUAUAUAUGGAAGCACAAAAAUCAAUAUUGCAGAACCCUCAGAAAAUUCGCAUGGAUCAAAGUACCCUAAAGAGAAAAGGAAAACAUAUUCAUAGUAAGUGACUAAAUAAUUCGACUAAAUAUUUCGAAUAUAAAGGUAUGAACUUUAUGUGUAUUGUUGGUAAGCUUACCGAGACAUCAGCUAGGACCAUCUCUAGGGUCUCACCAGAGUAGCUGGUAUAUUGCUGCCAGCUAUGGAUAAUUUUGACUUGGACCUUCCAAACAGUCUUGAAAGGUUUGAUGUCAGCAAGAUCAGUUACUUCUAAGUUGGCAGCCAUUUCGUAAGAGUAUGUGAGAAUCACUGGAAAAAUUUGUU